rnacentral:rRNA from 1 species
CCUACGGGUGGCAGCAGUGAGGAAUAUUGGUCAAUGGGCGCGAGCCUGAACCAGCCAAGUAGCGUGAAGGAUGACUGCCCUACGGGUUGUAAACUUCUUUUAUAAGGGAGUAAAGUGAGACACGUGUGCCUUUUUGUAUGUACUUUAUGAAUAAGGAUCGGCUAACUCCGUGCCAGCAGCCGCGGUAAUACGGAGGAUUCGAGCGUUAUCCGGAUUUAUUGGGUGUAAAUGGAGCGUAGAUGGGUUGUUAAGUCAGUUGUGAAAGUUUGCGGCUCAACCGUAAAAUUGCAAUUGAUACUGGCAGUCUUGAGUACAGUUGAGGUAGGUGGAAUUCGUGGUGUAGCGGUGAAAUGCUUAGAUAUCACGAAGAACUCCGAUUGCGAAGGCAGCUUACUAAACUGCCACUGACAUUGAGGCGCGAAAGUGUGGGGAUCAAACAGGAUUAGAUACCCGAGUAGUC